CCAGAACUGUUUUCAAGGGCCACAGAGAUGGUAUGUUGUAUUCUUAAAAGUAUUUGCUGUAGUGAUGGUGAAUUCUUGUUAAACUAUCAGUACAGUCAUGAAAACACUCUUGGAAACCCUAAUAACUUCCAUUGCAGGUUGUCAUGUGAUUUUUUUGUCUCACUGGGACUGUAGAAAGACUUUUUUACUAUGAUUUUGUUGUCCUUAGCCGGUGCCCCUACUUAAAAAAAAAAUAUUGCUUUUUUUUUGUGUGUAUUCUAUUAUUUUCCAUAUUUUGUGGUAAUAAAUUAUUGUGGUGUGUGUUGAGAGAGCCGGCCGAGGACAGGAAAAAGAAGUUAUAGUUGAGAUGUUGCGAAGGUCAGAUGAGAGUACGAGCGAGAAUGAAGAAAUAAGGAAGGAAUAGAAAAUAAAACAGCAGAAAGAUUUCGCCGAGGAGAGAUGAGCGAUUAACAGGAGAUGUAAAGAUAAAAGGGGAUAAAUGGAAAGAGAAGUGAAUUUAUAUGAGAUUAGACGGAAAGACGAACGGAUGAAUCAAGACAAGAAAUGAAAGAAAAGAGAGUAUAUGAGUUUAUAAGUGUAUUAACAUUACUGCUGAACAACGUUAAGAAAAAGAAGGCAAGGAGGAAAUAUAAUAGACCACAAUACAUAAGAUCUAUUCAUCCCGUUAGAAAAGUAGACCAACGCCCGAAAAUGAAGAGAUCGCCACACUAUCAUCAUCAUCAGCAUCAACAAACAUGGCGGCGGGAGGGGAGGAUCAGCUGUCAAACCACCUCACCAAAACGGACGAUAACAGCCUCCUGAAGCAAUUAGAGCUGCAGCUGGAGGAGCUGGACGAUGAGGAGUUCCAGCUGCCGCCUGUCGGAGAGCUGCCCACCCUGGAAAGUAUCUUGAAGGAGGAGGAGCCUGGUAGCGUGUCCGAGGAUGACCUUGACCUGGCCCACACCACGCCGCCCCAGCCUAAGAGCUCCUUCUCCACGGAGGGCGGCGACACUCUCUCUGUGCACUCACGCGGCAGCUCGGAGAGUCGCAGCCGCACCUCCUCCAGCGAACGGCAUAGUGCAGGGGGGGGGAGGUGCCGCCGGGAGACUCAGAGCAGAACACAUGGGUCCAUUCUGCGCCAUGUUAUUCUUAAGGGUGUGGCGUCGCAGCUGGUGUCCGCCCAUGAUCGAGUGGGGGCAGGGCUGCCGACGACCAUGGCAGUGGGUCUGGUCAUCUGCAUCGGCACCAGCCACGGCCUUAUCUUGGUGUUUGAACCCACGCAGGCUCUCAAGUGCUGUCUCGGCUCCACGCAGCAUGGGGAGCAGUUUGGGGCAGUGUCGGCCCUGGCCCUGAACCCUGACUGUACAAGGCUGCUGGCAGGAUUCGCUAAGGGUCAAAUCUGCCUGUUUGACCUAACCUCCAGUAAGCUGCUGCAGACUAUCUCAGAUGCACACACGCCCUUCACUGCUGUGCUGCAUCUUAAGUGGACAGACUAUCCAGGCGUUGCGGUGAUCAGCGACAGCGGCGGCUCGGUGUUUGAGUUAUCGGUGAAGCGUACGAUGGGCCUCAACUCCAAUGAAUCACGGUGCAUCUUUUCUGGCAGCCGCGGGGAAGUGUGCACCAUUGAGCCGCUUCUCAUGUCACAGUUCAGAGCCACGCCCUCUGUGGAGACUGUCAUCCUGGCCAUGGCGACGAUAUCCAAGGUGAUUGUUGUGUCGCUGAGGCCGCAGCUGAAAGUUCUGUUCUCCCACCCCCUGAAGGCGUCGCCGGCCACACUGCCCCUCCUCGCCUGGCAGUUCGUGGUGAUCCAAAUGUCAGACGGCACCAGAGUCAUCGAUCCUGUGCUUGCGUUUGGCAGGGAGCGCUCCAUCUAUUUCUAUCAGGUCACCCAUGGAAGUCAGGAGGAGCUACAGUUUGUGGCGCUGCAGAAGAUGUCCCUACCUUACGUUGUGCAGGGGCUGGCCUGGCUAAACACACGCACUCUGGCCCUCAUGGACGCGCGGGAGAGGCUACACGUGGUGGAUGUCAAGACGCAGGAGGAGCUGGAGCGUUUAGACUUGGCUCCUCUUGGUCUGGUCUACGCGUCGCCGCAGUUCAAGGCGAUAGCAACUGGUGGAAAUGUCAGCAAGGCAAUGGCCUUGGCGGGGGAGCGGGCGUGCUACCACUCCAUGGUGAGCUGUGGGUCGCAGGUGCUGCUGCUGGGGACCAAGUCUUUCCAGGUGGUGACAGUGCGUUCGUGGGUGGACCGCCUGGACCACCUGGUGAGGACGGGCCACACCCAGGAGGCGCUGCAGCUGGCCCUUGACAUCUACCAGGACAAGGCACAGGCCAUCGUGGGUCUCAAACACCGCAAGGAGAAGAGACAACAGCUGGUGCAGGACAAGAUCAAUGAGCUGCUGAGUCAAUACCUGGACUCAGCGCUGGACAGUGUGCCGGAGCGUGGCAACCUAACAGCCUUGACGCAGCACUACACCCAGCUGGUGCCGCUGUGUGUCCGGGUGGCGGUGGGGGCUGGCCUCAGGGAUGUGCUGUUUGGCCGCAUUUGGGAGACGUUCAGCGAGGAUGCCAUAUCCAAGGGUAUCUUCCUGGAGGCGCUGGAGCCGUACAUCCUGAAUGACCAGCUGGCAGAGAUAUCGCCCAGCAUCAGUCAGUGCCUGUUGUCACACCAAGAGGCAUCGGGCAGACUGCAGGCGGCGGAGGCCUGCAUUGUACACCUGUCCGUGCCGUCGCUGGACCUGCACCAGGCCAUGACGCUGUGCUGGGCCCAUGGCCUCUACGACGCCAUCUUCUACAUCUACACCCGUGGCAUGGGGGACUUCGUGACGCCCCUAGAGGAGUUGGUGACAGAGCUGCGGGGUGCCCUGGAUGGUGGACAGCCCCUGCAGGACGGCCAGGUGACACUGGGCAACAAGAUUCUGGUGUACGUGUCCUGCUGCCUGGCAGGGAGGGCCUACCCUCACGGGGAGAUCAGCCCUGAGCAGCUGAAGCAGGUGAAGCACGAGAUCUUCAAGUCCCUGACCUGUCUGCACUCAAAGAACGCACAGCCCACUGAGCCAUCAUUCCCGCUGCUGAGGACACUGCUGCGCUUCGACACACGGGAGUUCCUCAACGUGCUGGCGCUGGCCUUUGAGGAGGAGGAGUUCACGUCGGAGCUGGGCAUGCAGCAGCGGCAGCGGGUGGUGGACAUCCUCAUCCAGGUGAUGGUCAACGACAAGGAGUUUGGCCCGCCCCAGCUUGGCUCCCUCUUCACCUUCAUCGCCCGCCAGAUGUCCAAGCAGCAGGACGCCAUUGCCAUCAACAGACAACUCUUUGACCAGGUCCUGUGUCACCUCACCUCCUCCGACACUGAGAGUUACCGCGACGAGAGGCAGACGGCCCUACUUGAGCUCCUGCAGGGUGGCGGCAUGGCCCACUACGACCCUGAGUACCUGCUGAAGAGAGCGCGGGAGGCAGAAUUUUAUCGAGUGUGUGAGUAUGUGUAUGAGGAACGAGGAGAGCUGGAGAAGAUUGUGGAGUGUUACCUGGAGGACAAGAUGAGGAGGCACCAAGUCUUCACCUACAUCCGCACUGUCCUGUCGUCCUCUCAGUUCACCGACCUGCACGCCCAGAAGAUUCAGGAGCAGUUUGUGAAGCAUAUCAAGACUCUGCUAGAGAUAGACAACAGUCGGGUGGCCAGCCUGCUCCUGACAGUGACCCAGCUGAGCCCCCUGCUGCCCUCCAUCACUGACCAGCUAAGAGGAGACACUGACAGCCUCUUCAGCCUCCUACACGCCCUCUUUACCUACAGGUGGACCCACACAUCACCAGGGGGCCGCGGUGUGGACCCCAGCGAUGGCCCCCUCACCUCAGAGCUGCAGGAGGAGUACAUAGACUUGAUGUGCACCGUGCAGCCCACUCAGGUGUAUGCCUACCUCAAGGGUGCUGAGGGGUACCGGCUUGAGCAGACUCUUGAGAUCUGCAAGAAGCACAAGCAGCAGGAGUCGACGGCCUUCCUGCUGGAGAGAGCGGGGGAUGUUAAGGGAGCUUUCGACAUUUUGCUAGCCAUCCUCAAGGCCAGAGUGGAUGAUCUGCUGGUGAAAGUGAAGAGUGAGGAGAAGGACAUCACCAACACCCUGGGACACGUGCAGGCCCAGGUGGUGAAGCUGGUGCGGGUGUGCCAGCUGGGGUCUGCCCAGCUGGAGGAGAGCAGCAGGCGGGAGUUGUGGUUCCCUCUGCUGGAUGUACUGCUGGCCACUCAGCCCACCCUGGCCUCUCACCAACACGCAGCACAUGAGAUGCGUCAGAUGGUGGGGCACGUGGUGAACAGCAUGAUGACCCACAUAUCCCUGCCGGCCAUCCUGGAGAGAGUGAUGCAGGACCCAGGCUACUGUGACGGCAACUUUGCACAGAUUAAGCACCUUCUGAAGGGAAUGGUGGAGCGGUAUGUAUAUGAGGAGACGCUAUAUGCCACGGUGGUGCGCAUCCUGGCGGGGGAGCAACUGUGCUACCUCACCCAGCAGCACACGCAGGCUCGCUCCCCAUUGGUGGUGCACUCCCCCUCCUGCACCCUCUGCCACAGUGCCUACCACCCCUCCAGCCGGGCUAUCGUGCAUAGCUGCGGCCACAGUUACCACACACACUGUGGGGGGGAGUCAGCGACCUGCGUGAUGUGUACAGGCGGUGGGCAGCGGGAGGUGGCCACGGAGGAGCCACAGAGCACCGAGCAAGCACCACAGUCUGCGGCUGGCCUAGACAAGACUCAGCUGGAGGGCAUCAGACGUGUGAGGGUGCAGGGCUCGUGUGGGUCACGGCUACAGUUCCUAGAGGACCUGUCAGCGCCCAGGAAGGGAGACGCCGCCACCCCGACGUCCCCCAUCAGGAGCUCUGGGUCUUUGUCUGGUGGGCAAAAUAUCUGGUUGUCACAGAAUUUUGCGCUGAAGCUGACACCUCCAACCUUGGAUUUUAGUGAUUAGGGGGUGCUAGGGAGUGGCUGUGUGUGUGUGUGUGUGUGUGUGUGUGUGUGUGUGUGUGUGUGUGUGUGUGAGAAAGAGAUACUGUAGAGAGAGAGGGAGAGAGAGAGAGGGGACACAAUCUUUUCUUGAAUCGAUUUCAGUGCUAUAGUGUGAGAGAGAGAGAAAGAGAGAGAGAGAGAGAGAGAGAGAGAGAGAGAGAGAGAGAGAGAGAGAGAGAGAGAGAGAGAGAGAGAGAGUAUCUAUUUUAGUCUAAUGGUACUUCCUUUCAGUCAUCAAGUGCUAAAGACAGUGUGCAUUUGUGCAUGAGAGAGAGAGAGAGAGACAGAGAGACUAAGAGACAAACAAUCAGACAGACAGACAAACAAACAGGUAGCAGCUAACCUAACCUAACCUAACCUAAUGUAAAGGAAGAUUAAGAACACUUCUAAGAGGCCAGCUGACACACUUAAGGCAGCUCCUGAUAACCUCAAACUUACUACUGGUUUCCUCAGCUUAUUGUAUCUAGGUUGACUGUGUGUGUGUGUGUGUGUGUGUGUGUGUGUGUGUGUGUGUGUGUGUGUGUGUGUGUGUGUAAUCUUUAGGUUGUGAUCUGCUUGGUUGACUGGUGAAGGAUAAGAUGAAGAGUGACUAGAUGAAUGAGAGAUAAACAUAAUUAAUGACUGAUUCAACAAAUAUGUUAAAAUUAGGAAUAUUGUUAAAAGGAUUGAUUCGGAGGACAAUAAUCGUGACCAUUGACUGAUGAAAAACAAAUAGAAGUGAUUGAAUGCAAGAACAAAAUUUGAAAUACCAACUGAAUUUAAGAAUAGCAACCCUCCCGCCCAAAAAAAGGAAAAAACGUUGAUAAAAAUAUAUAUGGUGACUUCAGACUUAUAGAAAAAUUAGAAGUGACUGAUUAAAUACAAGAAAAUUUUGAAAUACCAACCCUCCCCCCAAAAAAAAUAUAAAAGUACAUCGUGGCCACAAAUUAAAGAUAAGUGAUUGAAUACAAGAAAAUUUGAAAUCACCAAGAAAAAUCCAGAGUAAAAAAAAAAACUAAAAUAAAAAAAAAAUCGUAAAAUUGAGCCAAACAUUCCAACACCUAAAAAAAAUAACUAAAAAUAAAUAAAUAAAUAAAUAAACAAAAGACAUAAGUAAGAUACCGAACCUUUAAUUUUAUCGCUAUAAUUUCAAAUCCUUUCCUUAAUUUAAGAGAAAAAACAAUCACAUACUAAUAUACUCAAUACCAAAGCUAUUAUGUACAUACCGUGCAAGGUUGUAUAGCUGUGCGUAUAGAGAAACCGAAGACAAUUCCUUCGUUUUACUUCACUAACCUUCAAUUUGCCGAGAUAUUAUUAUUUGGGUUGUGAUAGAGUGAGGUAGUGUGUUCGUUCGUUUGUUUGUAUAGCGGUAUGUUUAUAUUCGGUCAGAUAUUCCCUGUUGAUUUAUUUUUCAACGUUAUUUUUCACGUUCGAUAUUUCAUCCUCCCCUCCCUUACAUUUUCCCCUUAGUGAUGGUGUCCUCUCAGUAUUUCCCACUGAGGGCAUAGCUUUAGAGAGAGAGAGAGAGAGAGAGAGAGAGAGAGAGAGAGAGAGAAGAGAGAGAGAGAGAGAGAGAGAGAGAGAGAGAGAGAGAACUUUAUAACUUAACGAACCCAAAAUUUGCCUUCAUUACGCUGUUUUGUAUAAUUUCCACUUCUUUACCCAGAGCCUUAAAUUCACACAGGAUCUUUCAAACACCAUUCUUACUCUUCUUUUUUUACCUUUUUUCAUAAUAGUACAUGUUUUAUAAUUAUUAGUAAAGCCUGCACACUUGAAACAAUAAGGGAAUGUUUAGAUAUAGAGAGAGAGGUGAAGGGUUUUUCUGUAUGGCCAUCACUUGAAAUACACUGGAGAAUGAGGCAUGAGAGAGAGAGAGAAAGAGAGAGAGAGAGGUUACUAUUAGUGCUAGGACCCACACACGUCACUCUCUCUUGUCUAGUCUGAGGGGCACACCAUGCAUAUCUUGCUCACUAAACACAAAAAAGAAUGAAUCAGAGAGAGACAGAAUGAGACAGAUAGACAGACAAUAUUAGUGCCAGGAACCCAACACGCCUCACCCUGUCACCCUAGUCUGACAGGUACAAGAGACACAUUUUGCUCACUAAACCCACUAGAGAAAGAGUGAAUCAGAGACAGAAUGAGACAGACAGACCAAGAACCUUACAUGCCUCACCCUGUCACCCUAGUCUGAGAGGUACGAGACACACACACCUUGCUCACUAAAUGCACUAGAGGAAUGAACCAGGGAGAGACAGAUAGAUACAGUAUUAUUGCCAGGAACCCCACAUGCCUCACCCGCUCACCCUAGUCUAGUCUGAGGGCCUGAGACACACACACCCUGCUCACUAAUCUCACUAGAAGGAAGGUUUAUCGUACAGCUUUUGUAAUUAUUUUGUUUACGCCUAAGAAAAACAUGUCUGCCAUAGUGCUGUGUAUAUAUCAGUGGUUUUGUAUAUAAAUUGUACGAAAUAUAUAUAUAUACUGAAUUGCAUUGCUUGCCUGGUUAUUUUUCAAGAUAAUUUGUGGUCUUAUAAAUCCCAAACACCUGUAAUUGUGAAGUAUUUAAUAUUCAUGUUAUCUUUGCCUGGGGACGGUGUGUGGAGGAGGGCAUGACAAGAAAAGCAUUAGUGAUAUUCUAGUUUACAAUCUAAAAAAAAAAAAAAAAAACCCAAAAAACACACAAGUAAAUGUUCUCAGUAAUCUCUUUUUAUCUGAGAUGUUUGGCUGGGGAUGGUGUGUGGAGGAAGACAUGAUAAGGGAAAAACAAGGAUAUCUUUAAGUUUACAACCUCAAAAACCUACAAAAUUCCUGUAAACCUAACCAACUAGUCAACCUAACACUGCCUUGAGUUAUCUUGGUGCGUGUGAAAGGAAUAUCUAUGGAGAAACAGAUAUAUUUUUCAAGUUUACAACCUCAAAACCCUCAAAAAAAUUAUAAAUACCCAGUAAACACCGUCAUCACACUACCUUGCAUUACGCUGGUGUGUGUGAAGGAAAACCUAACCUAAACAAGGAUAUUUACAAAGUUUAUAACCUUAAAACGCCCACAAAAACUAAAAAAAAAUCCCAAUAACCAAUUUAACAGUGUCUUGAGUUAUCAGCAGACAAUGAGGUCCUUACUAGGCUGUUUGGGUGGCUAUUCUACACUAGCCAUUAAUGAGAGCGAAAGGAUAGUACAGAAGAAGGCUCCUCCCCACCCACCCACCCAUCCCUGCAACUGAACCUGGCCUGAAAGAAAGGAAAAAAAAAUUAAGUAGACAAAGAAGAAGAAGAAGAAGAAAUCACCACACAAGAAUCAGAGAAGGAAGAACAGAAGAGAUACAUCACCACCACCACCACCACCACCACACACUCACUUGCAAGCCUCGUGGUGACCGCAGAAGUAGGUGAUGACAGUCUCCUGCUUGGUGCCGUUUAGGAAGGAACACUCAGCAUCACGGUUCAUCACACACUGCUCCACUGUCCUGCACCACGACAUCACAGCAUCACAGGAUAACGCUGGCGUUCGUCGUACACCUCAGAGGACACGUGCUCGAACCCAAGCCUCCGAGCACACCUGGGGACGCGAGUUCAAGAUAGGGUAGCGAGGAAGCAGGAUGUAGCAGUGGUGGUCUAGUUGUUUGCCUGGUUGCGGUGUGGUGGUUGUGGUUGUGGUGGUGUUGUGAAGCGACAGCAGGAGCACAAGGGUCUAGUUGUGAAGAGCAGCAGGGACGAUUAUGAGGUGCAUGUCUGUGAAAUACGAGAUGGACAGCUUAUCCUGCAAGCCCGUGUUGGGGGAGGUGUACACUCUUGAGCACACCACAUGAGUAUUGCAGUAUUCUUUGUUAACCUUGUCCAUGUCACACCUUUCCUGCAAGCCCGUGUUGGGGGAGGUGUACACCCUUGAGCACACCACAUGAGUAUUGCAGUAUUCUUUGUUAACCUUGUCGAUGUCACACCUUUCAUGCAAGCCCGUGUUGGGGGAGGUGUACACUCUUGAGCACACCACAUGAAUAUUGCAGUAUUCUUUGUUAAGCUUGUCCAUGUCACACCUUUCAUAACUUUGCCUAAAUGAGGUUUCUAAAUGCUUCAGGUGACAGUUACGGGGCUGUUUGACGUAAGCAUAGAGGAAUAGGUGGUAAUCGAUAGUAUGAUGGAUGAGAUCUUGUGAAAAAAAAUACUGAAUAGCUGUGAAUUGUGCUUAAAUCUAAUUUGUUUUACUUGUGGAAGGAUUUUUAAGUUAUUUUUAUCAAUUUACGUAUGAAAUUGUAACUCUUACUUCUCCUUGCUGGUGCUGUGAGGCAGAGAUGUGGUGACGCUUGUGAUGACCUGGCCGUCCACCUGUGCUGAGGCUAAGGCAACAUGUGGUGACUGGACUGCCCAUCUACUGGUGCUGUGAGGCCAAGGCAGCAGUGACAAGCCACCUCCGUUAAUAAUGAUACUCAGUGCGGUGCCCCCUCCAUUCCCUUGGCGUGGAGGGGCCACCUUAUCACCACUUCCUUUGGACUGACUGUUUGUCGGUUAAAAGUACACGUGUUAUAAGAUGUCGACAGACUCUUCCCUAUUUUGAUUUUUUUUUUUUAUACGUUUUAAAAGUAGUGUUUUCCUUGUGCUUUGUCUCCGGAGUGUCUUUUUGGUAUCUUUCCUUGUGCUUUCUCUCCGGAGAGUCUUUUUGGUAUCUUAAUGUUGGGAUUUGUGGUGUAACUGGUUUAAUACCAUGGAACUUUGCUAGAUUUUGUGAUCCAAGUGUUCACAGAUUUAUUGCCUCAGCUCAAUUUAUAACUCUAAAUACCAGGAAAUUGCAUCUGAAGCUCAAAGUAAUACCAGGAAACUGUUAGAAAACUGAAGUGAGUGUGUACGGGUGAUGGUUGCAACAUAAUUUGACUCGUACACCACCCAGCCUUGUCAAAAUUCAGAGGUGAAUAAAAAGGUGAAUAAAAAACUUGAGUAUACAAACUUAA